rnacentral:sRNA from 1 species
GCUGGGUGUGGUGGCACACGCCUGUAAUCCCAGUGACUGAAGCCGAGGCAGGAGGAUCAUAAGUUUGAGGCUAGCCUUAGCAAUUUAGUGAGAUCCUGUCACAA